CACGGAGACUUCUGGCGCUUGCAAGUGAUCUUCUGGCGGUUGAAACAGUGAGAUAGGUGCGAGUGUGCUGGUGCGUUCGGUGUGGUGAUGACUGACUAGUGCUGGACCCAUUUCCGAAUAACUUUGAGGGUUUGGGGUGACCUGGCUCUCGUCGUGGGUCACGCCGGCGAGAAUGGCAUUAGGACAAAGUCACCUCAAUGACGCGACAGGAGUGCUACACCGCACAACUCCUGCCUCCGGAGGGCGCCACACCCGUUGAAGAUGACGACCUGGCGGCCACCUUGGUGAUCGGUGGCGGCACGACGAUUUCGGAGCUGCAGGAUGGGCGCAACUCUGUGUCCGUUCACCCAGAAACCCAGUGCCUGGUCAGCGAUGUGAAAUAUCGUCUCCCAAACAGUGAGAUGAAGAUGCUGGCUGCCUUCGCUGCGGCGCACGCUG